rnacentral:tRNA from 1 species
GCCUCGGUAGCUCAGUUGGUAGAGCAGAGGACUGAAAAUCCUCGUGUCGGCGGUUCAAUUCCGCCCUGAGGCACCA